UUAAUAAAUGAACAUUUCAAGAAAAAAAAAAUUCUGAUUCAACCGCUCAUGCGCAUUCACUUCGCGACGGCAGCCGCGAUGGCGCUGGCGGCUCGCGGUACGCGUGCGUGCAUUGACAAUUCACGCUGGCGCGCACGUCACGUUAAUAGGAAGGUCUAAGCCAUGUCACAAAAAAGGAUGUAUCCCUCUGGUGCAGAAAAAAGAAAAGGAAAGAGGAAGAGAAAAAAGAGCAAGAUAAAGGAACACUGUUGAAGUACUUUGGAGAACAACCAACUUUACCUUCCCCUAAUGUUUCAUCUAGUGUCAGUGCCUCCACAGCUGAUGAUGCAGCAGGUUCAUCUGCUGCACAAGCGAUUAAAAGCGAGGAGCAGUUACAUGCGCCUGAAAGCGAGGAGCAGUUACAAGCACCUACAUUCACCGAUACGUUGGUUUCAAAAUCAGCCGGCAUGACAGGUCCUUCUACAUCUGCACCCACUGCUAUAGAUUUACCAUCUACUGCCUCAACAAGCUCCAGCUACCAAGAGAGAUCAACAGCUCCUCCAAUUGACCCAGUUGAAUGGUCAGCAUUCCUCUCAGAC